UACGAAGGCGUCAAGCGUUGUCCGGAUUUAUUGGGCGUAAAGGGUCUCCAGGCGGUCGUGUUAGUCGGGCGUUAAAUCCCACUGCCCAACAGUGGGGCCGCGUUCGAAACGGCACGACUCGAGGGAGGGAGAGGUGAGCGGAACCCACGGUGUAGGGGUGAAAUCCGUUGAUAUCGUGGGGAACACCAUAGGCGAAGGCGGCUCACUGGCCCUUUCCUGACGCUCAUGAGACGAAAGCGUGGGGAGCGAAUGGG
rnacentral:rRNA from 1 species